rnacentral:lncRNA from 1 species
AUGGUCAACCCCACCGUGUACUCCGACAUCACGGCCGACAGUGAACCCUUGGGCACGUCUUCUUUGAGCUGUUAGCAGACAAAGUUCCAAAGACAGCAGAAAACUUUCGUGCUCUGAGCCCUGGAGAGAAAGGAUUUGGCUAUAAGGGUUCCUCCCUUUACAGAAUUAUUCCAGGAUUCAUGUGCCAUUCAUUUUCACGCCAUAAUGGCACUGGCGGCAGGUCUGUCAAAGGAGAGAAAUCGAGGAUGAGAACUUCAUCCUGAAGCGUACAGGUCCUGGCAUCUUGUCCAUUGCAAAUGCUGGACCAAACGCAAACAGUUCGCAGUUUUUUAUGUGCACUGCCAAGACUGAAUAGCUGGAUGGUCUUUGGGACGGUGAAAGAAGGCAUGAACAUUGCGGAAGCCAUGGAGCGUUUUGCAUCCAGGAAUGGCAAGACCAGCAAGAAGAUCACCAUUUCUGACUGUGGACAACUAUAA